rnacentral:rRNA from 1 species
GAUGAACGCUGGCGGCGUGCCUAAUACAUGCAAGUCGAGCGAACGGACGAGAAGCUUGCUUCUCUGAUGUUAGCGGCGGACGGGUGAGUAACACGUGGAUAACCUACCUAUAAGACUGGGAUAACUUCGGGAAACCGGAGCUAAUACCGGAUAAUAUUUUGAACCGCAUGGUUCAAAAGUGAAAGACGGUCUUGCUGUCACUUAUAGAUGGAUCCGCGCCGCAUUAGCUAGUUGGUAAGGUAACGGCUUACCAAGGCAACGAUGCAUAGCCGACCUGAGAGGGUGAUCGGCCACACUGGAACUGAGACACGGUCCAGACUCCUACGGGAGGCAGCAGUAGGGAAUCUUCCGCAAUGGGCGAAAGCCUGACGGAGCAACGCCACGUGAGUGAUGAAGGUCUUCGGAUCGUAAAACUCUGUUAUUAGGGAAGAACAUAUGUGUAAGUAACUGUGCACAUCUUGACGGUACCUAAUCAGAAAGCCACGGCUAACUACGUG